rnacentral:rRNA from 1 species
AUUGAACGCUGGCGGCAUGCUUUACACAUGCAAGUCGAACGGCAGCAUGGGUGCUUGCACCUGAUGGCGAGUGGCGAACGGGUGAGUAAUGUAUCGGAACAUAUCCGCAAGUGGGGGAUAACGUAGCGAAAGUUACGCUAAUACCGCAUAUUCCCUGAGGGGGAAAGGAGGGGAUCCGCAAGGACCUUUCGCUUACGGAGUGGCCGAUAUCAGAUUAGCUAGUUGGUGGGGUAAAGGCCUACCAAGGCGACGAUCUGUAGCGGGUCUGAGAGGAUGAUCCGCCACACUGGGACUGAGACACGGCCCAGACUCCUACGGGAGGCAGCAGUGGGGAAUUUCGGACAAUGGGGGCAACCCUGAUCCAGCCAUGCCGCGUGAGUGAAGAAGGCCUUCGGGUUGUAAAGCUCUUUCAGCUGGAAAAAAACCGCAUCACCUAAUACGUGGUGUGGAUGAUGGUACCAGCAGAAGAAGCACCGGCUAACUACGUGCCAGCCGCCGCCGUAACAC